AACUUCUAUGGAAUUCAGGAUUGCUGAACGAGAAGCUGGAGAUGGUGGCAGAUUUCAGCUUGCAGCCUUUUGGAAUUCCGGCAUAUAGCUCUUAUGGAUUCUGGAAGCUUGUCUUGUUAUUUUUGGCCUAGAUCAUUUACUCAGAGGAGAGGAGAAGAGAAGACAAUCACCAGUUCUGCUGUGUGGACUGCAUCGUGAUGACCUCGUGAGCUAAGGGCCCUGUAAUAUAGAUCUGUUUCUUUGAAAGCAUCUGCUUCUAUGACUACCGCUUGCCCUGAUGCUUCUUGCCAAAAUGGUCUGCAUGGAUGAUUGAGAUCACAAGUCUCUUCAGUCUGCAUCUGUAUCAUACAGCCCUAUCAGAACAGUACAUUGAAUCAGCGACUCAGCUAGGCACUGAAAUGCGCAAUGCAAGAAAGCUCCCUCAUGCCCCUUGGCCCAUUAAUGUAAACAAAUGAUGCAAUUAGUGGAAAUAACGAGCCUAGUUAAUCCUACAAGCUUGGCUCGAUUAAGCUUGCUACUUGAUUCACUCCAAGUUAUAAGGGUUCAUGCAUAAAACAUUAGAUGUGUAUUCCUUACUCAAUAAGUAUGUCUUUAAGAACAGUACUUUUCCCAGCUCCCAUUCCACCACCCAUAAGGAGAAGAACUGGACUUCUAUCUUUGAAUGCUACUGGCGCCAUCACAUCUGUACAUUCAGACUCAUCAAUCUCUGGUUUCGGCUGCGCGAGUCCAAUUGCUUUCAUUUCUUGUACCAAUGUGGGAAGUUUCGGCAUAACUCCAAUGAAAGGCGAAGUAACUGAGAAUGCAUCGUUCAAAUUCUUCGACUAGUUUGAUGAAUAGCGAAUCACAAUCUGGAUCACGGGCGAAAAAGGAGUAAACGUUAUUAAUUAAUUUAGGUGGAAGAAGAUAGAGAUAAUUACCUACAUAAUGGGAAAAACGUUCGAGCUUUGCAACCCUUUUAGAGCUAUCAAAUUUGAUACCAGGAACAAGUUUAUGGUUUUUAAGGGUGCGUUGAUGGUAAAAAGCAAUAACGGCAGCAAUCAUUAUUCCUAAAGAAGACGCAGCGAGGAAGGUAAAACUGGAUUUGUUACCAUAGCCAUUUGAUGAUGAUGAUGAUGUGUGACAUUGAUAAUGGUUAGAAGGUGUGGAAAUGAUAUCAUCAAGGAAAAUGAUAUUUACCUUGUUGCAUUUCUCUUGAAUGAAUGGGCUGAGGAGAGAGAAAAUUCAUCAAAGUUUGUGUUGAGAUGGCAGAUAAGAGGGGGAUGAUUAGUGGAAGAGAUCACUCUUUGCCAUGCAAUUCGUUGUGAUUUGUUUUGGGCUCAGUGAACUGAUCAGUGAUCACCAUCAUCAAUUAAGAGCAGAAGAUCACCAUCUACUCUGUGGUGCAGUUGUAAACAACCACUGCCAUUGAAAUGGAACUUCCAAGUUAUCAUCACCAAAGUCGGUGACUAAGAAUAUACCUGUAAGCCAAGGCUGUAACAACUUCGCAUCAAAGUGUUGUGAAUGCCUUGUGCUAUACUUUAGUGGCCAAAGCCCAAAGGGCCUAUGUCAUGUCACCAAAGGUUGUAAAAGUAAUCCUUUGGCCACUUAAGGGUUCUGUUUACAUGGAGGAUGGCCCGCUAAUUUAACGUCCCAUCUUCCACGUAUGCAGGGGUGUCAAAGCGGGUCAUCGGUUGGUUACGGUUCGAGUAUAAUCGGAUAAUGUAGUUAAAUGGGCCAUUAUGCUUACACGGAUUGAAUGUGUGAAUUUUAUUUUUCAGGUCACUUCUGUUUCUAUCCAAAAUCGGUUUGAUCGGGUCCGUUUUUGACAGCCCUAGACAGUACGCUGAAGUGUUGAACCCUUGAGUAGCCAAACGAUAUUUCUACAACGUCGGGUGACAUGACAUAUGCCGAUAUGCCUAAUCUUUCCUUUUAUAUUAUCACAUAACUAUUAAUCUGUAUCUUUGUUCGCAUUUUGUUCUUAUUUACCGAGUAAUAUUUUUCGUGAGUUGUUUUUACUGUUUUUGACUUUGAGUCCUAGUACUGCUGUACUAGUAACUAAUAAGUGUUUACAAACCGUCAACUCUUGGCAAGUGUUUACACUGUAAUUACACAUUUAAGACCUACAAGUUUCAACGUACGAAUACAUUCUAAUUUGGACUGA